GCUGGGUGUUGUGGCGGGCGCCUGUAGUCCCAGCUACUGGGAGGCUGAGGCAAGAGAAUCGCCUAAGCCCAGGAGUUGGAGUUGCUGUGAACUGUGUGAUGCCACUGCACUCUUAUCUACUGAGGGCAAGAAAGUGAGACUCUGUCUCUACAAAAAAGAAAAAAAAAUUACAUACAUUUCAUCUUCUCACCUCUAAAUACUUCCUUUUUUUUUUUUUUUUUUGAGACAGUUUCACUUAUUAACCCUCAGUAGAGUGCUGUGGUGUCACAGCUCACAGCAACCUCCAACUCCUGGGCUUAGGCGAUUCUCUUGCCUCAA
rnacentral:SRP_RNA from 1 species